UAGAGUUUGAUCCUGGCUCAGGACGAACGCUGGCGGCGUGCCUAACACAUGCAAGUCGAACGGAGAUUUCAGCAAUGGGAUCUUAGUGGCGAACGGGUGAGUAACGCGUAGACAACCUGCCUUCUAGAUGGGGACAACACUGCGAAAGUGGUGCUAAUACCGAAUGUCGUAUCUUGUGCGCAUGCACACGAUACCAAAGGUGGCCUCUGAAUAUGCUACCGCUAGAAGAUGGGUCUGCGUCUGAUUAGCUAGUUGGUGAGGUAAUGGCUCACCAAGGCGACGAUCAGUAGCCGGUCUGAGAGGAUGAACGGCCACACUGGGACUGAGACACGGCCCAGACUCCUACGGGAGGCAGCAGUGGGGAAUCUUCCGCAAUGGACGAAAGUCUGACGGAGCAACGCCGCGUGAGUGAAGAAGGUUUUCGGAUCGUAAAGCUCUGUCUUUUAGGACGAAUGUACUUUAUGUGAAUAAUGUAGAGUAAUGACGGUACUGAGGAGGAAGCCACGGCUAACUACGUGCCAGCCGCCGCGGUAAUAC
rnacentral:rRNA from 1 species